UACGUAGGGGGCAAGCGUUAUCCGGAUUUACUGGGUGUAAAGGGAGCGUAGACGGCAUGGCAAGCCAGAUGUGAAAGCCCGGGGCUCAACCCCGGGACUGCAUUUGGAACUGUCAGGCUAGAGUGUCGGAGAGGAAAGCGGAAUUCCUAGUGUAGCGGUGAAAUGCGUAGAUAUUAGGAGGAACACCAGUGGCGAAGGCGGCUUUCUGGACGAUGACUGACGUUGAGGCUCGAAAGCGUGGGGAGCAAACAGG
rnacentral:rRNA from 2 species